rnacentral:tRNA from 1 species
GGGGUUGUGGCUCAGUGGUAGAGCACUUGCCUGGCAUGUGAGAGGUCCUAGGAUCAAUCCUCAACAACACCU